rnacentral:rRNA from 1 species
GCACAAGCGGUGGAGCAUGUGGUUUAAUUCGAUGAUACGCGAGGAACCUUACCUGGGCUCAAAUGUAUGUUGACGUAUUCUGAAAGGGAUACUUCUUCGGACAAUAUACAAGGUGCUGCAUGGUUGUCGUCAGCUCGUGCCGUGAGGUGUCGGGUUAAGUCCCAUAACGAGCGCAACCCCUAUCAUUAGUUGCCAUCAGGUCAAGCUGGGGACUCUAAUGAAACUGCCUACGCAAGUAGUGAGGAAGGUGGGGAUGACGUCAAAUCAGCACGGCCCUUACGUCCUGGGCUACACACGUGCUACAAUGGCCGGUACAGAGCGCAGCGAGGCCGCGAGGCGGAGCGAAUCGCUUAAAGCCGGUCCCAGUACGGAUUGGAGUCUGCAACCCGACUCCAUGAAGUUGGAUUCGCUAGUAAUCGCGCAUCAGCCAUGGCGCGGUGAAUACGUUCCCGGGCCUU